rnacentral:rRNA from 1 species
CCGAGAGUGACUAGCUAACUGAAUCAAUUAAAAAUUGAUAACAUAAGGGAAAAUAAUGAUAUUACCUUAUUAUUAGUGUCGUCCAAAACUGGUGCCAGAAGACUCGGUAAGGCCAGAGACACAAACGUUAAUCGUCUUAAUCAGGCGUAAAGGGUUUGUAGGCGGCUUUAAAAUUUAUUUAAAAUAAUAUUAAGUAAAGAAUAAAAGCUAGAAUCAAAUAGAGGAUAUAUGAAAGAAUGCUUAGAGUAGGUCUGAUAUCCUUAGAUACUAAGUAGAAUAUUAAAGGCGAAAGCUUUUUUCCAUUAAUGAUUGACGCUCAGAAACGAAGGUGAGGAUAGGAAAUAGGAUUAGAUACCCAGAAUACCCCUCUCUGUCAACGAUGAAUGGUAGUUAUUAAUAAGAAUUAUUAAUGGCAAUGUUAACACGAUAACCAUUCCGCCUUGUGAGUACAACUGCAAAGUUGAAAACAAAAAAAUUAGUCGGUUUCGGAGCAAACGAAGUGAAGCAUGUUAUUUAAUUAAAAAAAUCCCGCGAAAG